UACGUAGGCAGCGAGCGUUGUUCGGAAUUACUGGGCGUAAAGAGUGUGUAGGCGGUGCUCUAAGUUCGGUGUGAAAUCUCCUGGCUUAACUGGGAGGGUGCGCCGGAAACUGGAGUGCUCGAACGUGGGAGAGGAAAGCGGAAUUCCUGGUGUAGCGGUGAAAUGCGCAGAUAUCAGGAAGAACACCCGUGGCGAAGGCGGUUCUCUGGGACGGUACUGACGCUGAGACGCGAAAGCGUGGGGAGCGAACAGG
rnacentral:rRNA from 1 species